CCGCAUACGAUCUACGGAUGAAAGUGGGGGAUCGCAAGACCUCAUGCUCGUGGAGCGGCCGAUAUCUGAUUAGCUAGUUGGUGGGGUAAAGGCCUACCAAGGCAUCGAUCAGUAGCUGGUCUGAGAGGACGACCAGCCACACUGGGACUGAGACACGGCCCAGACUCCUACGGGAGGCAGCAGUGGGGAAUUUUGGACAAUGGGGGCAACCCUGAUCCAGCAAUGCCGCGUGAGUGAAGAAGGCCUUCGGGUUGUAAAGCUCUUUUGUCAGGGAAGAAACGGUCUGGGCUAAUAUCCUGGGCUAAUGACGGUACCUGAAGAAUAAGCACCGGCUAACUACGUGCCAGCAGCCGCGGUAAUACGUAGGGUGCAAGCG
rnacentral:rRNA from 1 species